rnacentral:piRNA from 1 species
UUUGGUUGUAUUUCUGGACAGAAUGAC